UUGCCGCAAGGAAAGAAGGCCAAGGGGAAGAAGGUGGCUCCGGCCCCUGCUGGCGUGAAGAAGCAGGAGGCCAAGAAAGUGGUUUAUCCCGUUUGAGAAAAGGCCUAAGACUUUUGGCACUGGACAGGACUUCCAGGCCAAAACGGACCUCGCCCACUUUGUGCAAUGGUCCUGCUCGGUCAGGGUGCAGUGGCGGACAGCCAUCCUCUAUAAGUAGCAGAAACUGUCUCCUGCUAUUAACCAGUUCACCCAGGCCCUGGACCGCCAAACAGCUAUUCAGCUGCUUAAGCUGGCCCAGAAGUACAGACCAGGGGCAAAGCAAGAGAAGAAGCAGAGACUGUUGGCCCUGACUGAGAAGAAAGCUGCCAGCAAAGGGGAUGUCCCCACUAAGAGGCCACCUGUCCUUGGAGCAGGAAUUAACACCGUCACCACCUUGAUGGAGAACAAGAACGCUCAGCUGGGCCAGGCACAGUGGCUCAUGCCUGUCAUCUCAGCACUUUGGGAGGCUGAGACAGGCAGAUCACUUGAGGCCAGGAGUUUGCAAGCAGCCUGGCCAACAUAAUGAAAAACCCCGUCUCUACUAAAAUACAAAAAUUAGCCGGGCGUGGUGGCACACGCCUAUAGUCCCAACUACUCAGGAGGCUGAGGCAGAAGAAUCACUUGUACCCAGGAGCCAGAGGUUGCAGUGAGCUGAGAUCACACCACUGCACUCCAGCCUGGGUGACAGAGACUCUGUCUCAAAAAAAAAAAAAAAAAAAGGAAGGCUCAGCUGGUGGUGACUCCACGCAACAUGGGUCCCAUCAAGCUGGCUGUCUUCCUGCCUGUGCCUGUGUGUAAAGUGGGGUCCCUGACUGCAUCAUCAAGGGGAAGGCAAGACUGGGAUGUCUAGUCCCCAGGAAGACCUGCACCACUGUCGCCUUCACACAGGUUAACUUGGAAGACAAAGGAGCUUGGGCUAAGCUGGUGGAAGCUACCAGGACCAAUUACAACAACAAAUGUGAUGAGAUCCGCCAUCACUGGGGAGGCAGUGUCCUGGGUCCCAAGUCUGUGGCUCACAUUGCCAAGCUCAAAAAGGCAAAGACUAAAGAAACUACCACUAAACUGGGU
rnacentral:lncRNA from 1 species